UCAUAAAUGCUCAGAGAGACUAAACAGAAAGUUUGAGAGCUGGGAUGCUUUCCCAAAUAUAGUUUAGAGCUGUUGGUCAAUCAGUGAACUGCUUCUGCAGUCUGAAAUACAAGUAGCCCUAGCAGCACCUGCUAGUACAGCAUGUAGAGGAUGCUAAGUUUGGCAAAUCAAGAUUUUUGUUCAGGUAACAUGCAGAGGCGGCUCAGUCUUAGGCAUCUGCAGAGUUGCUUCUAUUUGUCAGGCGUAUCUUACGGAUUGGAAAAGUAUUGAGGAAAUUGCGUUCAAAUACUGAAAAUGACCGUACAAUUAAGAUGCAAUUUUACUUGAUGGAUUUAGGCAGUUCUACUUGCUGCCAAACUGCAUGGACUGAGUGAGGUUUUUCUUCCUCCUUUUAUUUCCCCUCUCUCCCAGGGUAAUGCAGUACACUGGUUUAUUGGGUUUGUGUGGCAAGGUCAACCCACCACAACUGGUUCUGAGUUUGGUUUAAGGCAGCGGAGCUAUUCCGGAUUUAAAAGCUGGUUUUGGUGUCUGAAGGCAAUGCUAUGACCCAGGGACAUCAGCUGAAUUCCUUAGCAGUGGCUACAUGAGCAGCUGGAGCGGUUUCUUGCACUUCACUGUCUAUUCUUUUUUGACAGUGGGAUUUUGCCCAUCCCAUUUUUAUAUUUUGCGCAAUGUCCCAACCUCGUAGGCUGAUCUGACUUUAUUUAUAUUCACACAUGUACACGCGCACAAAGCUUACAUUUCACAUCUCUCUCUAAGUCAGACCUGCAGAGCUGACAGCUAGAGGAGUGCUUUCUCUAACCUCCCAGCAGCUGAGAGCCGGCGGGUGCUGCUGGGCUCAAUGGCACCAUCGCUGGCCAAGCGGCUCCCCAAAAGGGAACAUUUGUGCCUCCUGGCUUGCGAGCUGAUUUGAACAUGGGCAUUUUCUUGCCAAGCAGCUGGCCCAUCUGAACUUGACCACCUCCUGACAAGCUGCAGCUGGGAUGUCUGCAUUGCCUGGCUUUCUGCUGAGAAGAAGGGAGCACUGGCCUCGAGCGACUGGAGAGACACCUCUUCCUUCAGUAGACAAAAAUGGAAAGCCUUAAUGCAGUGAUCCAGCUGACAUCUCAUACCAAAAGCUUCUGAAAUGACCCAGGCAUCAUACAAAAUGCUAGCAUCAAACCAGCCAGUAUAGCGAUACUCAGCGCUACCAAAACUGAACAGUACUGCUCUUAGUGAAAGACACCGAGAAGCCCUGUGAUACAUCGUGUGCCAGGAACAGUGUUCCUAGCACUAACCCUGGAGAUCUUCCCACCCUCGGUGGUACCUGCCCUGCUGGACGUGGAUAUGAAACAACCAACCAACUGCAGAACCGACCAGGCACGUCUGUGCAGACCGGAGUGCUCCCACGAGCGCUGGAAGAAUAUUUGCAGCUUUGUCAAAGGUAUCUCCAUCUAAGAGUUUACAGAAGAACUGGUGGGAGUGCAGAUUACACCUUCACCCAUCAUUUCUUCCUGAAGGACGAUGCGAUGUCCAACGCUUGUUCUGGCAAAGCCAUUUUAGUCUUAUUGUAAUAGUUUCUAAUUACUCAUUUCUGCAAGAUCACUGCCUGAGAGUCACCGCGAGCCAAAUACUCUGUGAACAAUUAUCCCAAGAAGUUCUUAAUUACUGUGGAGCCACUACAGCUCUUUAAAAUGUAUUGCCUGUACCAAUACCAUAAAUCCACUUUCCUCUCCACUUUUUAUGGAGGCCUUUGUGUUCUGGAUUCUGUGUUAAUGAAGGUACUGAAGUGCUGCUGUGGCUUACUCCUCAUGCUGCUGGCUGUCAUGUACAGACGAGCAUGUGAGAUGGAGACCCAGCUACAAAAGACCCUGCUAACCAAGCAAGUUAGGUAUUUCAUGGUCUAGUUUUUUUAAUUCUGAUUAUCGCUCAAGAGCCACAAAAAUGCUACAAAAUUUUCUAUCUUUGUAGUGGAUUUUGCAGCUUCCUAUUUGCAACGUUUGUUGCAUGUAAAUUUUUGCACUUUGGCCAAAACAAGACUGUUUUUAUGACUUUACUUGCAAAUGUGUUGAAAGCAUAUGUUGCUGGAUUAUUUAUUGUACAGCACUUAAAUAACUUUAUAUACUGAACAUAUGCUAAAGCAGAAUUCACAAAUGGCAUCUCUGUCAGUGUAACUUUUGAAGUAUUUCAGAGAACCUACAGUUGGUGUCCUAUUGUAACAGUGUAACUUUGUAAGGAAGACAGAUGAUUAAAAGUUUUUGGACAGAGUUAUGAAAAUUAUUAAUAUUUGAAAUUAUUACAGUACCAGGAACAUUAAGCCUAAUUUGAUUGAAAUCCAAAUACAAACCUUAUUCUAAAAAGCUAAAAAGAAAGCAAUGAAAGUUUUAAGGCUUUUGUUAUGGAUGAAAGAUUUCAGAAGCCGUUAGAGGUCUGUGUGCUCUUUUAUGUUUCUGACACCUCUCAGUGUGGGAUUUAAAGCAGUUUUUUUACUUAAAAGGCAAGAUAUACAAACAGUUUGGCAGUAGAUCUACUCUUUGAACAGAUAAAAAUGCUUAAAAAACUUGACAAUUGCAUGUAAGAGGAACUGUAUUAGAAAGUUAUUUUUCUGCUUUUAUUUCUAAUAAAUUUAUAGGCUGAACAGUUUAUUCAUUUGGAAGUAACAGCUCUUUUUCAGUCUUUUGAUCAUGCUUCCAGUUUUAAACUGAAGAUAAACCUUGAGAUGAUUAUGCUUUUCGCUUCUUUAGACUUUGUCUUUUGCAGCCUGUCAGAAAUUUUGCAUAGAUUUUAAUAUGAAUGUUUCUACUGUCAAAUGUUUCUUCCUUUCACCUAGAUGGUAUAGUGAUGUAUUCCGCUGCAGUAAGGAUGGGUGUUCUGUGGUUCAAAAUUUAGCAAGUAGUAGCGUAUACCUGCACUUUAAUAAAGCUUCAGGAGUACCUGACCUGCGUGUUGUUAAUUGCAUCUUUAAUUUUUUUGUGGAAAUGUUAUAGAUUUGCGCUUAAAGUAUUUACUUGUUGAGUACUGUAUUGUUGAAAAGGAUAUUUAAAUGUCAUGGAUAAAAAAUGUCUAGUAGAAUAGUAACGUAAUAACUGAUGCAGAAUUCCUUUUCUACUUGGGCCAAAUCCCCUCCCUAGGAGGAGGUCGCCAAGAAGCUGGAGCCAGGCUCCUUGCUGAGGUGCACAGCGGGAGAAUGAGAAGUGGUCAUAAAAUGAAACAGGGCACUAUAUCUGAAUAUGAGGAAAACAUUUUUCACUGUAAUUAAGCACCAGAGCUCAUUGCCCGAGGAAUCUCUCUGCUCGGGGAGGCAUUCCACACCCAGCUGGAGAAAGCCAUCUCGCCUGCAGCCAGCACUGCUGGACCAAGAGUGGGGACAGGAUCCUGAUUUCUGCAUGCCCCUUGCUCAAAUUCCCCGCGCAAUGUCUCACCUUCACACGAUUAUUAUCAAAACUGUCUUUAAUGAAAUCUUGUUGCAAUGUAAAACUCUAUCCCAAGAAUUGGUCUGAGACCAAAUUUAAUUUUUUGUUCUUGGGAUACUGAACUUUGCCCUGACAUGAGGGGAAAGAGAUCAGCUGCACAGGUGGAGACAGCCUGAAACAUGUAAGAAUAUCAUGGAUGUGCUUGGAGGGGAAUUACAAGGAGCAUAGAGGCUGAGCAUUUCUUUUAAACAAAAGGACGGAUUUUAGUUGUGGUCGUGACUGGAAGACAUCAUGAUUCCUCCAGAUGUUACUUUCACAGCAGAAUUCAUCAUGAAGAACAGCUCAUACUUAAUACCUAAUUCAGGGGUAAAACUAGUACCUAAAUUAAGGGUAAAACUAAGCCUUGGUUAUUUAAGUAGUAGAUGAAGAGUGUUUUGCAAUAUCAGUUCUUACAGCAUAUCUGUUCUUUCCUAUUAAAGCACUCCUAUUCCUAAAGCAUUUCUCAUUUACCACUAGUGUCCUUACAACAAUAAUCUGUUAGGAGGGGUCUAAUCUGAGACCAGGUGAAAUAAUCUUAAAAUUGGUGAGCUUGAUCUAACUUUUGUUCUGUGGUGACUGAAGGGGAAAAAGUAAUUUUAAAUAAAUAUGUUCUCUUUCUAAAUAGAUAACUAGUCAAAUGCAUUUCAAAUAUUUGCUCAACUGAUCAAAUAUUGGUUUAGGUUUAGAAAACAAAUUAACCUAAUGUUUGAAGAAUUAGACAUUUUGUACCUGAACACUUUUCUGUGUCAUUACUUCUGUACCAAUGACCCUAAGUACUUCGGUCAAAAUAAAAGACCCUUCUGCAUUCACGUUAAAAUAGCACAGGUUUAUGUUUAAAUUCUAGUAGUUUCACUAGGGAAAGACCAGUCAAAUUGUAGUGCUGUCUAAUGCUGGUAAUGUGGAAAUUUCUCUCUGAAGGAGCUGAAAAUUUAAAGAAUAGUCAAAAUUACAGUGUUUUGUUAGUCCAUCAGUAUUGGGUGAAAUCAGUUUCAUAUGCCUAUAUGUAACAUUAAAUGAGAAAACAAAGGUGUAAGAUGGAGCAAUUUUAUAGCAAAGGUGAAUAAAAUUACUAAACUAGCUUGUUUA